rnacentral:lncRNA from 1 species
AUGUUGUUUUUUUUUUUUUUUUCUUUUCUUACAAGGAAAAUAUAUGCAAUGAUCUACAGAAAUUUAGUGGCUGUAAGUCAGCAAGGUAGGUAAUUUUGAAUAUUAUAAACAUAGUAUAACUUAAUAACAGUUCUUUUUCAUGUAAGAUCUUAUGUAUCCUAGUCUAACCUUAAACUAUGUAGCUACGGACCCUUGAGCCUUAAAAAAAAAAAAAAAACCACAAACCUUUGAGUAGCUUUUUGUUGUGUAUGUAUCUGUAUGUCUGUGUAGGGUGGGAUAGAUACAUGGUGUAUACCUGGAAGUCAAAAAACAGCUUGGCGGAAUUGGUCUACUUUUUACAUGGGUUCUGGUAUCCAGCUCAGAUCUGUAGGCGUGUGUGGCAGGCACUUUGACCUCCUGAAACAUCUUACCAGUCCCCUAAUCAUGUUUUAAAGACUUGGAUGUUGUCUUAGUCAGGGUUUCUAUUCCUGCACAAACAUCAUGACCAAGAAGCAAAUUGGGAAGGAAAGGGUUUAUUCGGCUUACACUUCCAUACUGCUGUUGACCACCAAAGGAUGCAGGACUGGAACUCAAGCAAGUCAGAAAGCAGGAGCUGAUGCAGAGGCCAUGGAGGGAUGUUCUUUACUGACUUGCUUCCCCUGGCUUGCUCAGCCUGCUCUCUUAAAGAACUAAGACUACCAGCCCAGGGAUGGCACCACCCACAAGGGGCCUUUCCCUCUUGAUCACUAUAUUGAGAAAAUGCCUUACAGUUGUAUCUCAUGGAGGCAUUUCCUCAACUGAAGCUCCUUUCUCUGUGAUAACUCCAGCUGUGUCAAGUUGACACAAAACUAGCCAGUACAGAUGUAUACUUCAUGUUUUAAAGACUUGGAUGUAUACUUCUUCAUAGAGUGCAGUUCUGGCUUUAACCCUUAGCACUCUAAAAAGGCAAAAUAUCACUGUGUGCUGCUUUCAUUUGUGUUUGCUUCUGGCUCUCUUUAUUAUUUUUAACUCUUUCAUUGCCUACCAAUUUUUUUUUAAUAAUUAUUUUUGGGUGUAUUAGUGUUUUGCCUGCAUGUCUGUCUGUGUACCAUCUGUGUGCAGUGCCUUUGGAGGACAGAAGAGCCCAUCAGGUCUCCUAGAACUUGUUACAGACAGUUAACGACUGCUGUGUGGGCUGGGAAUUGAAGCCAGAACUUCUGGUAGAGUAGCCAGGGCUCUUAACCAUGAAGCUGUGUUCCCAGCCUCUACUUUUUUGUUGUUUUGAGACCAGAUCCCCAUAAAUUAUCCAGGCUCAUUUGGAACCCAGGCUUCCUGCUCCCCAAGUAGCUGACGUUUGUUCAUUUAUUCAGCACUGCUGAGAGUUGAACUUAGGCUCACACACCCUUGCGUUUAGAAAGUACUGUACUAGUUAGCUGCCCCAGCCAGGCUUUGACUCAUCUCAUUCUCUCUUAAAAAAUUAAAGUGACUUCUUUCAUUUCACUUUAUUUGUAUGGGUGUUUUUUCUGUCCUGCUGUAUGCAUGUAUACAUGUGCACCACGCGUGUGCAGUGCCCAGCAAGGUCAGAGGAGGAGCAUUGAAUCUCCUAGGACUGGAAUUAGACUAUUGCCACCUCUGGAAGACCUUCAAGUGCUCUUAAGCACCAGAGUCAUCUCUCCAGCCCCUCUUUGGAAAAAAUAAUUAUACUGCCUGGUGUGGUUACACAGACAUUUAAUCUCAGCAAAUGGGCGGAUGGACUUGUCCAGCCAAGUUUACAUAAAGAGACCCUGUCUCAAAAAGGCAAAAAGCAAGUUUUAAUUAUGUGUGCGUCCCUUUAUGUGAAUAUGUGCACAUGAGUGCAACUGAUCUUAGAGGCCAGGAGUGUCAGCUUCCCUAGAGCUGGAGUUAGGGAGUUUUGAGCUGUGGUAUCUAGGAACUAAGAGUAAUCCAGCCCCAUGAUUCUCCUUAAAAGUAAAAGAAAGUACAUUUAUUCGUGUUUAAGAGCAUCCUUAUGCCAUGAUGUGCAUUGGGAAGUCAAAUUGGAUGUCUUGUUAAUCUCUGUCACGACCCUGGGUUAUCAGGGUUUCUUCUGAAGGACAGGUAAUGUUAAAAGCUGCUUAGUAGAAGCGUGAUCAAACCUCAGAAUGCGUUGAGAUGUUUCAGGAAGUAAUAUAAUACCUAGGUAGGACCGUGAAAGAGUGGGGUUUCAUCUCUUCUCUUCUCUUGCCCCCCUUUGUAUUCUUGCUCUUGUUUCUUGAGUGGACACUUAGCAUUUUUAGGUAAGCAUCAUUUUAGCUCUCCUUGGCAGUUCUUUUUUAGUGACUUGAGCACAGGUCCUUGUGUGUGCUUCACAAGCAUCAACUCUGAUGUUGAGCUACUUACUGAGAGAAUUGGUUAUUUUUGGGAUGCAACCUUUUUGAGAACCUAGUAAAGGCACUUGAUUUUCAUUCUAUAAGUGUGUACAUGUGGAUAGUGUUUUAUUAUUAUUAUUAUGGUUUUUUGAGACAGGGUUUCUCUGUAUAGCCCUGGCUGUCCUGGAACUCACUGUUUAGACCAGGCUUGCCUCGAACUCAGAAGUCUGCCUGCCUCUGCCUCCCAAGAGCUGGGAUUAAAGGCAUGCGCCACCAUGCCCGGCUAUUUUUUUUUUUUUUUUUAAAGAAAGAGUUUCUCUUUUUAAAGACAGGCUCUCACUAUUAGCUAUGGUUGGGCUAGAACUCAUUAUGUAGAUCAGGCAGACCUUUAACUCCCAGAGAUCCAUCCACCUGCCUCUGCCUUCUAGACUUACAUACCGCCAUGUCUCCUAUUAGUUGUAUUUGAAUACUAGUAGCUGUGGGCUCUGAAACCCCGUAAUCCUUACCGUUACCCUUGAACAUAGCUACUGUGUUCAGAAGCUUGCUUGGUUUCUAGACUGAAUCAACCAUUCUCUUGCGAUCCCACUAUUCCCUUCUAUAUUCAGAAGUCACUGUGUUGUGUGUACAGUGUGUUGUAAAUGGCACCAGGAUCCUCCC